rnacentral:lncRNA from 1 species
AAGCAUCAAAAUAUAGGGAUAAUCUCAUUUAAGGAAGAUUAUGAGUGAGAGAGAGGUGUGUAAGUGUACAAAAAGAAAAGCAUGGAGCUAAAGACCCAUUUGGAAAAAAAUGUGAGUGUUUUGAGUUCCAUGGGUCGGUGGGAAACCCGUAGGGCCACUGCUGUUAAGUUCUUACGUCCACAUUACUCAUUUCUUUUAUUUUCUCUCUCCUUGGUUAGGUGGAUUACCCACUUUCCAAUUCAACAAUUGGCUCCAAUAAAUGGGCUUUCCACUUGUGUUAUGAGGUCCACCGGUGAUUGCAAGACACUUGUCUCUGGGGCACAGUAUUUUAAGGCCUGACGAUUCUUGAUCCAGAUUGCCGAUUGGAUGAAGAAUCGGUCAGAAUUAAAUUGGUUCUUAGAUGGUAUGGGUCAUGGUACGUUCCCUCUGCACAUUUUAUGAACUUUUUUUUUUUUUUUAAGGUUUUUAUUUUCUUAUUAGGUUUCCUAAAUCCCACGCCAUAAACUUAUAUUUAUAAUUUUUAUCUUAUUUUAUUUAUUAA